UAGUUUGCGCUUGGGGCGGUGACACGGUUAGUAAGGUGAAACCGAGACGUGUCAAUUGCUGGUUGAAAACUAUUGCUGGUUUUAGCCCUUGUUCCUAGUUUGCGCUGGUUUUUUAACAUUUAAUUUGAUAA
rnacentral:snRNA from 1 species